GUGAAUCAUCGAAUCUUUGAACGCAAAUUGCACUCUCCUCGGAGAGUAUGACUGUUUGAGUGUCAGCCUCUACAAAUCGACAUCGUUCCUGUUUUGCGGUGGCGUUCGUCGGAAAUUGGGUCAUUUUAAAUCCUUUUGAUUUAAGCGACUUAAAAUUUUCUUUUGGUUCUAUGAACGAUUCUAAGAACUAUUUCUUUACACGUUUAAG
rnacentral:misc_RNA from 1 species